rnacentral:lncRNA from 1 species
AGUGAGCUGAGAUCACGCCACUGCACUCUAGCCUGGGCGACAGAGCAAGACUCUGUCUCAAAAAAAAAAAAAAAGAAAAGAAAAGAAAAUGUAAGGAACCCAGAAAAGCCAAUCUUGAAAAAGGAUAAAGUAGUAAGACUCACACUUCCUGACUUCAAACAUUACUAAGAAAAAAAAGUGAGGCCAGGUGCAGUGGCUCAUGCAUGUAAUCCCAGCACUUUGAGAGGCUGAGGCAGGAGAAUCACAAGGUCAGGAGUUCGAGACCAGCCUGGCCAACAUAGUGAAACGUUGUCUCUACUAAAAAUAAAAAAAAAUAGCUGGGCGUGGUGGCCAGCUGCUGUAAUCCCAACUAUUUGGAAGGCUGAGGCAGGAGAAUGACUUGAACCUGGGAGGCAUAGCUUGCAGUGAGCCAAGAUUGCACCAUUGCACUCCAGCCCGGGCGACAAUGCAAGACUCUGUCUCAAAAAAAAAAAAAAGACGGCUCAGCGCGGACAGGAGGAAUCUGAGGAGCCUUGCGGGGGCCUGGGCUGUGGGCAGGGCUGGCGGGGAACAGGCAGGGGGAUGGAGGAGCAGUGGGGCCUAUGGGGGAGGGCCUGGGUGGGCUGGUGGGGCCCUUCUGUGCUGGGUUGCCGAGGAGACAGCAACAUCAUACAGGCUGAACAGCAGGACCUUCGCCACCCUUAACUCCUGGGUGAUCACUCUGGGAACAAAAUGGAUAUCCCAUCCAAGAGGGAAGUGCAGAGCGGCAGCCCUGUGCUCUCUAACGGCCCUGGAGCCUCAGCCUCAAAGACUUUACAUAAGCGUCACCUCCAGGGCCAAACUGAUCUUGAGCCCGGAUUCACAAUGGCGCCAGCUUGAGUAACAACACGCUGUGCUCAUAGUUGGAGAUCAUGGACCAAUUACUUGCUACACCAGGCUGAAUUCGGGGCUGCUUUUCUGGGAACAGAGGAAGCUGUUGCCCAGCCGGGGUCUCGGUACAGAUGGGUGCAGACGUGCUGGGCACGAGUGUGCCCAGGUGCCCCAGCCAGGUGUGUGGGCCACUGGAGAGGCUGCCACCAUCAAGAAGAGGCUCCCAGCGCCAAGAAAGGCCUGAGGCAGUCUGACCCACGCAGGGAAGUGAGGACGACUCCUCACACAUAGAGGAUGAGGGUGUCCUGCCCCGUGAGAGUGAGGAUGUGACUCCUUCAAGACUAUGCUGGGUGCCAGUGGCUCACCCAAUAAUCCCAGCACUUUGGGAGGCCGAGGCCAGAGGAUUGGUUGAGCCCAGGAGUUCAAGACUAGCCUGGGCAACAUAGCAAGACCCUGUUUCUACAAAAAAUAAAACAUUAGGCCAGGCGUGGUGCCUCACGCCUGUAAUCUCAGCACUUUGGGAGGCUGAGGCGGCCGGAUCACCUGAGGUCAGGAGAUCGAGACCAGCCUGGCAACAUGAUGAAACCCCAUCUCUACUAAAAAUUAAAAAAUUAGCUGUGCAUGGUGGCGGGUGCCUGUAAUCCCAGCUACUCGGGUGGCUGAGGCAAGAUAAUCCCUUGAACCUGGGAGGUGGAGGUUGCAGUGAGAGCACGCCACUGCACUCCAGCCUGGGCAACAAGAGCGAAACUCCAUCUCAAAAAAAAAAAAAAA